UCCCAAGGAUGACAUAAAAAGAUUGGAGAAAGAAGUUGACGAUUUGACAAAAAAAUUUAUCAAGACUGCGGAAGAUGUAUGCAAGGCAAAAGAAAAAGAAAUUAGUCAAGGUUGAGAUAUGCUGAUGUAACUUUUAGCCGAGGAUUCACUGCUUCGUUUCUCCUUUUAAUGUGCUAGGACCUUGAAUUUAUGUGGUCUCAGCCGUGUGUCGUUAAAUCAGUCAUUACAUGUAUAAGAACUAUUCUGGUGUUCCGGCAAUUUUCUUUUAUACAUAAAAUGAGCCCCCCAGUUUCUAUCUA